UAGCAACGCCCAAGGGUUCCUCAUUAAGGAGGAGGACAGAGGAGAACUAACCAGCUCCAGGAUCAAGAAAUGCUGUUAACCUCGCAGUUUUAAAACUGAAUGAACAAGGCCUCUUGGACAAAUUGAAAAACAAAUGGUGGUACGACAAAGGAGAAUGUGGCAGCGGGGGAGGUGACUCCAAGGACAAGACGAGUGCCUUGAGCCUGAGCAAUGUAGCAGGCGUCUUCUACAUUCUGGUUGGCGGCUUGGGCUUGGCAAUGCUGGUGGCUUUGAUAGAGUUCUGUUACAAGUCCAGGGCAGAAGCGAAGAGAAUGAAGGUGGCAAAGAGUGCACAGACUUUUAACCCAACUUCCUCGCAGAAUACCCAGAAUUUAGCAACCUAUAGAGAAGGUUACAACGUAUAUGGAACCGAAAGUAUUAAAAUUUAGGGCUGACCUUUUCCGAAGCCAUAAGAAACAAAGCCAGAUUAUCCAUCACUGGGAGUGUGGGAGAGAAUGGCCGCGUCUUGACGCCUGACUGCCCAAAGGCUGUACACACUGGAACUGCAAUCAGACAAAGUUCAGGAUUGGCCGUCAUUGCAUCGGACCUACCAUAAAAACCAAAAAAAUAAUUGAGUGCCUUAAUUAAACUGUUGGUGACUGGUGGAAACGCAGCCCUGAGGGACACGCCACGCGCGGGUCUUUGCUAAACCAUUCCUUUGGCUGACAGCGGGAAGUCCGUCCUAACGCGCCGGCCGGACAUCAGCAGCAGCAACGUGUGCAUGAGCUCAGCUCGGAAACCCAAACUCAGAUUUUAUAUCAGGAAAACUCACAAUUUAGGUUUUUUUGGGGGAGUGGGUGGGGGAGGGAUCUGGGAUGGGUGUAUUAACAGCUACAAAUUUCAUUCGAGUGGACUCAAAAACUAAUCAGACUUGUGAGUUAGCGCAUUAAACUGUGAAGUUCUUGCUCAGAAAGGCCUUUGUCGUCACCGGAAAGGAUGAAAUAGUUGUAGAAGUCCGUGAACAUGCUAACCUGUGUCUCUAGAACACCCAUAUAGUCCAUGGAAGAAAAUCCAGCUGAGAAAACAAAUCACUAAACUGUGAUAAGAAAAUAAUGAACAAACAUGUAAAUCCUGUGGG
rnacentral:sRNA from 1 species